UAUAUAAAAUAAAAACUUUAUCAUAUGUUUUGAGUGGAAUGAACUGCAUUUUAUUUACAUAGCAUAUGCCAAAUGGAACCAAAGGAGGCAGAUCAGAAAGGUCCAAGGUAAUCAGCCACAUAUUACAAAAUUGUCAUGGACAACCUACAAAAUAAAGGAUCUAUGUACAAAGAGUCAUAAAUGGCUAGAGACAACUUCUAGAUGAUAAAACAAGAAAGAGUAAGAAGAUAGAAGACACCAUUAUAAUCUGAUGGAGGAAGAAGACUACCAUUUUAAUAAUCCUUUCAUCUUCACCCUCUCACUAACGUUUGGGAAGAAAACAAUUAUUUACAUUCAAUAAAGAAUUAUGGGAACCCCA
rnacentral:lncRNA from 12 species